UCUCGCCCGUCCGGGGAAUCGGGCUGCCGUUCGCGAACUCGCUUCGUUCCGCUUUCGUUCCGGUCUUUAUCAUCCACCCAAUAGGAUACAAACGCGGAUUGUUUCGUCGACGAGAAAUGAACGCCACGACGCUGGCCGCGAUCUAGAAAUUCGUCUCUCGGGAGUGAACCUUACGGGACACGUGUGCACGAGACGUGGGGUAUCAUAUGCCAGUUGGGGAUUAUGUACCGGUCUCGCUGGCGUUACUGAUGGGUAAAAGUGUCCUCGUCGAGGGAGGAGUGACGAUAUACAAAAAUCGAGAACGCAUUACAACGAUAAGAAGGACUCCAUAUGAGACAACCCUACAAUCUCGUCAACCCUUAAUGUAUCCAUCGUGAGCCUUUGGCAGCUGGCUCUACACGCGAAAACGCGGUCCUGCGGGAUCGACUCGAGAUCGACGUAGUGUGAACGAGGGAACAAACGGAUAAAGAUAAGGCUAAGGACGAUGGGGGUGCCGGACGUGGAACAGGCUAAGAAGCGACUUCAGGACAUACUGAGGCGGGCACAGAAACUGGAGAUACCGACGCAAGAGGUGAUCUCGACGAGGACGGCGCGUAAAUUGCUCGCCAGAACGCGCAAUGUCCUGGCAUGGACUAUCUGGAUUGGAGUAUUCGUUGUCCUCCUCAGUGGCGUUGUCUACGCUCGUUGGCCUACACGACAGGAUGUGGAAACCGUUAGGACCGUGCUGAGGCGAACACUUCGGGCAAAGACAAGACAUCAAAGGAAUAUCUGACAUUACGAACGGCGAAGGAUCCACGAUAAGUUUUUGUUAAUUGACCAUGACGCAUUCUUAACAGAAGACGAGCAUUCGAAAGAGAGAAAAGGUAACUUUCUGACGAACGCAUAUUGGAAAGUAAGGCUAAAACCGACGAGAGAGGGAAAAUUCGGAAAGUUUCGACUUCUCUGCAACAGCUUACAGUCAUCAAUUUACGCUCACGCCAUUUUGGCGUUAUCGUUAAAUAUUCGAGAGAAAAGUUUUCCGAUGCUUUCCAUAAAUCAAUUAUGGCGCUUAACUUCGCUUUGUGACACUCAGUAAUUAUACAAGCGUUAUUUAUCAGUAAUAAAUCAUUGAUUCCGUUGACAAAAGUAGCUGAUGUCUUGUGCUAAUAUUUACUUAGAAGAGGUAGUACAAUUAAAUUAAAAAAUGUAUUCACAUUCAAACUGGCACAUGUUCUCUAUUGAUUUAUCUAUUUCCUUCCACAUAAUAAAAUGUUAAAUUAAACAAAA
rnacentral:misc_RNA from 1 species